rnacentral:ncRNA from 1 species
UUUGGUAGAGGUUGCGUUUGACAUCAGUACAUGGCCGGAUGCCGCAGGGGCAGAGGAAGGCGAUGGAAAGGGGACGACGCCGAAGGAAUAAGGCAGCUGACAGCUUUAUCCCUGGGCAUACGGUGAAGAAUCGUAUGACUGUCAUCGCAAGAUGGGGCGCUAUCGGA